rnacentral:sRNA from 1 species
GUCAGAUGAUCAAAGACUAAAAACGCCGCGUCCUGGGGCAACGUCUUUGAGACCCACAUCCUGCAGG